ACGAACGCUGGCGGCGUGCUUAACUCCUGCAAGUCGAACGGAAAGGCCCUGCUUUUGUGGGGUGCUCGAGUGGCGAACGGGUGAGUAACACGUGAGUAACCUGCCCUUGACUUUGGGAUAACUUCAGGAAACUGGGGCUAAUACCGGAUAGGAGCUCCUGCUGCAUGGUGGGGGUUGGAAAGUUUCGGCGGUUGGGGAUGGACUCGCGGCUUAUCAGCUUGUUGGUGGGGUAGUGGCUUACCAAGGCUUUGACGGGUAGCCGGCCUGAGAGGGUGACCGGCCACAUUGGGACUGAGAUACGGCCCAGACUCCUACGGGAGGCAGCAGUGGGGAAUAUUGCACAAUGGGCGGAAGCCUGAUGCAGCAACGCCGCGUGCGGGAUGACGGCCUUCGGGUUGUAAACCGCUUUCGCCUGUGGCGAAGCGUGAGUGACGGUAAUGGGUAAAGAAGCACCGGCUAACUACGUG
rnacentral:rRNA from 1 species